rnacentral:lncRNA from 1 species
AAAGCGUAAGAGUUAGUGUAUAGUACAGAAAACAUAAGCUGAGCCUCACCGUUUGCUUUCAUAAAAACUUUGGAUGCUACGUACUUUUAACAUGAAAAGAAAUUCCAAAAAGAGUUUAAGAGUUUUCCUGUGUGGGAGCAAAAUGAGCUAUCAGCCCUUUGAAUGCCUCCAUCUGCACCUGCACAUCAAGUGAUUUAGAUAAGACCAAACAGCACCAGGUGCAGUCACGGAAACCCCUAAAAAUAAUUACUUAAACUCAGAGUUAAAUAGAAACAGCAUGUAACAGGUGCAAGAGUCAAGACAUAUAGCCUUUUGGAUACUGCUAGCUACAUAUCCUACCAUUCCCCGAGAGUCAUGGAAACACCUACAUCCAUGAGUGCUUGGAGUAUCUGGCUAGCUGUUGAAU